GACAAACGCUGGCGGCAUGCCUAACACAUGCCAGUCGAACGGACAGAACAGGGAAGCUUUUCGGAGUGGAACUGGAAAGUUAGUGGCGGAUGGGUGUGUAACGCGUGGACAACCUACCUUGUAAAGGGGAAUAACCUCGAGAAAUCGAAGCUAAUACCCCAUAAUAACCUUGCUUCGCAUGAAGUAAGGAGGAAAGGCGGCCUUAGCGCUGUCGAUACAAGAUGGGUCCGCGUCUGAUUAGCUAGUUGGUGAGGUAAAGGCUCACCAAGGCGACGAUCAGUAGCCGGCCUGAGAGGGUGAACGGCCACAUUGGGACUGAGACACGGCCCAAACUCCUACGGGAGGCAGCAGUGGGGAAUCUUCCGCAAUGGGCGAAAGCCUGACGGAGCAAUGCCGCGUGAGUGAAGAAGGCCUUCGGGUUGUAAAACUCUGUCCUUAUCGAAGAGAGAGUGUUGUAGUAACUGACAAUACUAGGACGGUAGAUGAGGAGGAAGCCCCGGCUAACUAUGUG
rnacentral:rRNA from 1 species